GCCGCCCGGGAUGAGCUAAUAAUGGAAGCAAUUUGUAACUUUCAGUAGCUCUCUAGGCCUGGGUACCGGAGGGAGGGAGGCGGGCAGAGGAGGGGAGAUGGGCACCCCCAGUCUUUCCAUCCUCCUCAUUCGUCUAGGGGCACCCGAAUCCCCUAUUCCUUAUUUCCCCUAUCACUCAGGCACUGGCAGGGUCCUUUGCCCACUCCUGUUGGCCGCUGCGGCUCCAAAGCGAGCUGGGCAGAUGUGCCUGACACAGGUUUGACCAGGCAACUGAAAAGACAUCUCUAAGAGAAGACAAAGCAAAGGUAUGAAAGGAACACACGUCCCUGACUGACUAGGAGGAACAGAGCUGCCUGCUAUCUGGAACAACUUCCUCCCAGACUAAGUGAGAAAUAAACUUCUGUUUUCUAUA
rnacentral:lncRNA from 1 species